GUUUUUCAAACAGAAGUUAGUCGGACAGCGAUGGGUUGAUUUCCACCGGAUGCGGCGCAGCUUUUUGUCAUUUGGAUUUGUGAAUUCCCGGCUGAACGGCAGUUAACACCUGAAGCUCUCCACCGAGUACGCCAUUGUGAAAUUCGUCUGUUGGCCGAAGGAGAGAUAUGCGCUACUUAUCGAACAGCGGGAAUUGAUUGCUGCUGAUCAGCAACAACGAAAAAAAUGCGACGGGUCUAUUCCUGACGGAUUCGGUUUUGUGUUCCACAAAACUCCUGUACUAACGCUGGGAUCGGUGGAAGUCCCGGCUAGCAAAUAUACCACACGGAUGUCCCCCAGGAUCGAGUACGCCAUCGGACAAUUCGUCUGAUUGGCAGGAGAACAACCAACUGCUACUCCCCGAACAGCAGAAAAUGUUGUUUGCCACUCACCAACUUCGGCGAAAACAAAAUACGAUGGUAAAUAAAUAUA